rnacentral:rRNA from 1 species
UACGGAGGGAGCUAGCGUUGUUCGGAAUUACUGGGCGUAAAGAGCGCGCAGGCGGUCGUUCAAGUCGCGUGUGAAAGCCCCCGGCUCAACUGGGGAGGGUCACGCGAUACUGAUCGACUCGAAGGCAGGAAAAGGGGUAGUGGAAUUCCCGGUGUAGUGGUGAAAUGCGUAGAUAUCGGGAGGAACACCAGUGGCGAAGGCGACUACCUGGCCUGUUCUUGACGCUGAGGCGCGAAAGCUAGGGGAGCAA